AUUGAACGCUGGCGGCAUGCUUUACACAUGCGAGUCGAACGGCAGCGCGGGCUUCGGCCUGGCGGCGAGUGGCGAACGGGUGAGUAAUGCAUCGGAACGUGCCCAGUAGUGGGGGAUAGCCCGGCGAAAGCCGGAUUAAUACCGCAUACGACCUGAGGGUGAAAGCGGGGGACCGAAAGGCCUCGCGCUAUUGGAGCGGCCGAUGUCGGAUUAGCUAGUUGGUGGGGUAAAGGCUUACCAAGGCGACGAUCCGUAGCUGGUCUGAGAGGACGACCAGCCACACUGGGACUGAGACACGGCCCAGACUCCUACGGGAGGCAGCAGUGGGGAAUUUUGGACAAUGGGGGCAACCCUGAUCCAGCCAUGCCGCGUGCGGGAAGAUGGCCUUCGGGUUGUAAACCGCUUUUGUUCGGGAAGAAAUCCUCUGGGCUAAUACCCCGGGGGGAUGACGGUACCGGAAGAAUAAGCACCGGCUAACUACGUG
rnacentral:rRNA from 1 species